AUAUAGAUCAAUGGAAUAGAAUAUCAAAUUGAGAAGUAAACUCAUACAUAUUUUGUAACUUGAUUUUCAACAAAAACACCAAUGCAUUUCAGUAGGGGAAAGGAAUCUUUUCAGUAAAUGGUACUGGAAUAACUGAAUGUCCUUAAGAAACAGAAAAGGACCUUGACCUCUACUUCAUAGCAAAACCCUACUAAAAAUACAAAAAUUAGUCAGGGGUGGUAGCAUGUGCCUGUAAUCCCAGCUACUUGGGAGGCUGAGGCAGGAGAAUCUCUUGAACCUGGGAGGGGGAGGUUGCCAUGAGCGGAGACCACGCCAUUGCACUCCAGCCUGGGUGACAGAGUGAGACUCCAUUUCAAAAAAAAAAAAAAAGAAAAAGAAAACAUAGGAAAAUAUCUUUUCAACUUUGGGGUAGGAAAAGAUUUCUUAGGCACAAAAAUUCCUAAUCAUAAAAGAAAAUGAUAAAUUUGGCUCCACCAAAAUCAAAACUUUCUGCUCAGUAAAAGACAAUGUUAAGAAAUGAGAACACAAGCCACAUUGUUGGGGGAAAUGUUCACAACAUAUAGAGACAGAGAUAGAGAGAUCUCCUACAAAUCAAUAAUAAAAGAGAAAAAGCAGCAUUAUGGCUCUUCACAAAGGAAGGCUCUUCACAGAGGAAGGUAGAAAAAUGGAUAAUAAGCAUAUGAAAAAAGCUAUCCACUUCUCUUCCUCCAACACCUUCUUUAGCCACAGGUAUCAGAUAAGUGUGGGGGGAGGGUGAAGAGGGGGGAAGGAUUGAAUUACUUAGUGUAUUAGUUGGGUUUCUCCAGAAACAUGGAACCAAUAGGGGGUGUGUGU
rnacentral:lncRNA from 1 species